rnacentral:rRNA from 1 species
AUUGAACGCUGGCGGCAGGCCUAACACAUGCAAGUCGAACGAGUGGCGGACGGGUGAGUAAUGUCUGGGAAACUGCCCGAUGGAGGGGGAUAACUACUGGAAACGGUAGCCAAUUCCGCAUACCAUCCGAUUUGCCCAGAUGGGAUUAGGUGGUUGGUGGGGUAACGGCUCACAAGGGCGACGAUCCCUAGCUGGUUUGAGAGUCAGACGGGCCAAACUGGAAUUGAGAAACGGUCAAGACUCCUACGGGAGGCAGCAGUGGGGAAUAUUGGAAAAUGGGGGAAAGCCGGAUGCAGCCAUGCCGGGUGUAUGAAGAAGGCCUUCGGGUUGUAAGGUACGUUAAGCGGGGAGGCGGUACCCGAAGAAGAAGCACCGGCUAACUCCGUGCCAGCCGCCGCGGUAAUAC